rnacentral:rRNA from 1 species
AUUGAACGCUGGCGGCAGGCCUAACACAUGCAAGUCGAACGGAGUGGCGGACGGGUGAGUAAUGUCUGGGAAACUGCCCGAUGGAGGGGGAUAACGUUCGGAAACGGACGCUAAUACCGCAUACUAUCAGAUGAGCCUAGGUCGGAUUAGCUAGUUGGUGAGGUAAUGGCUCACCAAGGCUACGAUCCGUAACUGGUCUGAGAGGAUGAUCAGUCACACUGGAACUGAGACACGGUCCAGACUCCUACGGGAGGCAGCAGUGGGGAAUAUUGGACAAUGGGCGAAAGCCUGAUCCAGCCAUGCCGCGUGUGUGAAGAAGGUCUUCGGAUUGUAAAGCACUUUAAGUUGGGAGGCGUUACCGACAGAAUAAGCACCGGCUAACUCUGUGCCAGCAGCCGCGGUAAUAC